AUGCUCGCUGCUGCAGCACAUUUGCUAAAAUUAGAGCGAUGGAGAUUAGCAUGGCCCCUGCGAAGGAUGACACGCGAAUUCGCGAAGCAUUCCAUAUUUUG
rnacentral:snRNA from 1 species